UGUGUGAAACACUGUCCACCCCUGUUAAGUUCUCUAUAAAAGUUAGGCUAUUCGGGCAAUAAAAUGGAGCAUGAUCUGACUCUACUGUGUGUCUGUCGUGCUUUCGACCGUGCUUCCUGCAACACACAGAUACACAAAUUGCUGGUUUUGAUAGGGCUCUGGCAAAGACAGAUUGGUCUAAAAGCAUGGAAGGGUGAAAUUUAGCCAUACAUUUGGGACUGUGUACUUCUAAAAUUUCAGAAUAACCACUUGGGGUGUAAAAACUGAGAACACCUCCUUUGGAUCCAGUAGAUCAUUCAUACCUUUUAUAGCAGAAUUGCAGGUCAUCUUCAUAAUCCUCUUUUGUCCUAAUAGCAAAUAUUGGAUGUUGCUUCUAUGUUCACAGUGUCUGUUAAGAGUAUUUUAUGUUUUCGGCUGCAAGGGGUAGCAGGUGGGAAAUACCUUUUUGUGUGUGUUUGGGGGGGGGAAGUUAAAAGUCCAUUCAUACUUUAUUUUGCCACGUGAUAUUUUCGUAAUCUCAGUUGGAAUCAGAGAAUGCAUACACUCUGUUUUCAACUGUAAAAUACUGUAACAUUCAGACAUGUAUUUAGAUAAAAGGUAUCAUUCUGGUUACAUUAUUACUGUAGAUAAUCAGAAGGACCUGUGCAGUUUUUUCAGUUGCUCUAUAUGAGUUGUGAGUGUUUCUUUUGAGUCUGAGCAUUCAAAAUACAGCCUUAUGAAACAAAAUAACUGCAUUAAAAUUCAAAGCCUAGUAUAAACUUUGGCAUUUUCAUUUGUUGUACUUUAAUGAACGUAGUCCAGUUUAUUGUUGUUAAACUGUUGUAUUGUUGUUAAAAUUUCUAGUACUUAUUUUUAAGGAAUAGCACAAAUACAGUUUUUAAAUUUAGAUGUGGCACACUACUUGUCCUUCACUUGGUAUCAAGUUAUUCCUUGCUUUAAGACAUUUUUUGUCUAAACAAGUAUUACUUUGUAAUGCUAACGUCACACACCUUUGUGUACUUAGGACUCCGUAAAAUGUAUUUUUCUAUUUGCUUGUUCAUAAAAGCAGGGAAUUAAUCUUGCGUUCUCUUAUUACAAAUAAAGGAAAACAUUUAUUCUUAAGGCUGCCAAGAUUCUUUAAAUUUCAGUGAUAGUGCUGAAGACCUGCAUCCACCAGAGGCCAGUAGUGCACUUCUUACAGCGUGCCAUUGAGCACUGAAUUCACCCAGCUGCCACACGGAUUAAAUGUAGUGCUUCAGAAUAUUAACAACAACAAAAUUAAUCUGCUUUGCUUGCUGAAGAGCCUACAGAUAUUUUCUCUGUAUAUUUUCCCUGUGUGUAGCUGUGUAUAUUAAUACACAUGCACAGACGUGUAUUUCUCAUCAUUUAGAGAGCAAUACUGAUUACCAGUAAAACUUUACGUCUUCUUGCUCGUCUGAUCCUUUGCUAUGCUGGGAAUUUGCAUUGGGCAUAAACUGUUUAUAACAACACACGUUUUACAAGGUGACUGGAUAGUAGUAAAAGAACAUUUUCCAAUGCACACAUCUAAAUUUUUGAAAGAUUACUUGCAUAUCUUGCUCUUACUGUGUCCACUAAGAGCUUGCUGACAGUUAUGUCAUGCUGUAGGUUUUUUUUGUUUGUUUGUUUUGUUUUUAUUUUUCCAUCUGAAUUUGAAGUUUGAUCUAAACUUUAAUUUGGGAUUUUUAGAUGAACCCAUUCAACAGGUUAAAAGGGGUGGAAAAUGGUUACAUGGAGCAUUAUUAGGGAAAUAAAAAAAAGAACUGUUGUCUGUAGAAUACCCAGUAAUUGGUCAAUCCCUGUUGCCUAAAUACACCCAGUACUAUUUAAGGUAAUUAUGCUAAUCAUCAGAGUAUUUAGCCACAAACUGAAUUCAUGAAGAAAAAUGAAAAUGCUGUUCUAGCGUACCAGUGAAAUCUGUCUUGACAAUUUAAUUCAGCAUUUAUUUAAUUGAAUAAGAGCAAUAAAAAAUUAAUUGUGCUUUAGGAUUUCUACUUCUUCUGACUUGUCAAAAAAAUUCAAAACUCAAGGUAUGUCAGUCAAUGAAAAUGCCUGAAGCACAUCCAAUAUCACUGUGUUUUAUAGAUUAAUGAAACAAACUGAGCCGCCAUGUGCACAGGUAUAAAUAGUUGAUUAUUUACCUGCCUUUCUGCUAUUUGAGGACAAAGCAAAAUGUGAAUAACACCCUCCUCCCCGCACACCUGUUUGUUUCUGAGGAAUGUUAAUCGGCUUCCUAGUGCCAGCAGGCUACAAUCACCAACUACUAAUUAUUUUUAGAUAAUGAUAUUGGUAGUGUGGUAGUUGUUUGAUUACUCCUUGGACAUCUUUACUACUUCUCAGGUUAUCAUCUAAUUACCUGAGGUUGAUCCUUCAUGCCUGUGGGAACUGCGUUUGUGUAUUGAAAUUCUGCUUUUGGAUAGUGCCAUUGGUCACUUGCUUACAGAGGGAGACUGGAUGUGGUAAGAGCUAGUAGCUGGAGGAAUAUGAUGGAAACUGAAAGUGCAAUUUUCCCUAACCCUGUCUCAAGACUCAUUGCAUCUAAGAUCAAGGAAGACAGGAGGCAGAGUUAGUGAAAAUGGAGCUGGUGUGGAAUGGAAGCUUUCUUCCCAGUCCAGUCAGCCAAUAAUGGGCUAAGCAGCAGCGUGGCUGGUACCACUGGGAGCUUGAGAGGCAGAUGGGGAAUAGCGUUACAGAAGCCUUUUCUUCAUUCUUACGUGUAUAGCUGAGAAGACUGGGAAAACAGUGCUGGUGAGCCCAGGGAGCUCCCACCACUCACUGAAGAAAAACGUACCUGGGAUUCUCUGCAGCUUCUCUCUUUUUCUUUCUUCACUCAAGUGGAGAGAAAAGUAUGUGUGUAUAUGAAGAGAUGAGGAGAUAAAUCAGGAAACAAUGUCUUGUUCACAUACAAGGGAUCUGCUUCUGUCUUAUAUGUAAAAAUGUCAUCGAUCUUCAGGUAGCUUUUCCACAGUUCAGCUCUUUUUGACCAAAACAUAAGAGCUUCCUUGUUUAUAGCCUCUUUUUCCUGUAAAAUUAAUUGAUAUUAGGAAAUUGAAUGAAGUAUAACUAAAGAUAGUUUAGUUUAUCUAUGACAAUAAGUACUUGUGCAAAUGUUUUAUCAGAAGCUUGCUACUUUUUUAAUGUAAAAUCUUCAAUUGCUGCCUGGUUUAAUACUUAAAUCUAGGGCAAGUACUUUGUUGCAGUGUAACAACUGUGAUGGGAGCUCUUUUAGGACAAAUAAAUGAAGCUGUGACACAAUUUUCAACUCCAUGAAAGUCCAGUGCUGAUGUUAUCACACAUCUGUAUCUUCCCAGGGACCUGUAUAAUAGAAGACAGGUAUAUCUUUCUAAAUAUUCAUAACAUGAAUGUGCUGCAUGAGAGGUUUUAUCUGAGUUAAAGAUGUCUUAAAAAUAGCGUGAAGAAAAUAAGACUGUCUUUCCACUGGAUGUCACUGUUAGCUUAGAUCUGUGGUAGUUUAAUACUAAUGCAUUGUCUGUAUAAGGCUACUGUCUUCUUUUUUUUUUUCCAUAAAGUUUUAAAGUGGUUUAUUUAACCUCAGAGCUUUAAGAAAUAUUACUAUCAUUGUUUUUUUUAAAAAGGGUAGUGCUUAAAAUGUUAAUGAUAUGUGGAGUUAGGUUUUACUUGCAUGUUUCUAGUAUAUUUCUGAUUGGGAUUAACUUGUUAAAUGAUACUUAAUAAUAUAGGGAACUAAUGGAUACGAUUCUUUGGUAUUAAGAAAAUGUAUUAAUAUUAAUCUGGUGCAAAAAAAUCCCCUUUGUAUGGCAGACCUGCAUGCAGUGUUUUCUUAUGUUUAAUCUUUGCUUAUUUGGUCUUUGCCUAAAGUUGGAUUUUUUUAUAGAACUAGUGAAUAAUAAAGACAAAAUUGCUGAAACAUCAUCUUUUAGA